CGGGAUGUAGCGCAGCUUGGUAGCGUAUCUGCUUUGGGAGCAGAGGGCCGCUGGUUCAAAUCCAGUCAUCCCGACCA
rnacentral:tRNA from 1 species